rfam:Chlorocebus sabaeus isolate 1994-021 chromosome 23, whole genome shotgun sequence.
GGAUCUGAAGGUGAUUUGCCUGCACUAUUUGCCACCUCUUUGAUCACCAGAGUUGAAACUGCUGAUCUGUUGCCUAGGCCAGUGUUUCCUUCCUCCCUCAUCGUACCCCUCCGGAACCUGAGCACUCAGUCAAGAGGACAGCCUUCCCUUACAGAAAAGAAACAGUCUUUUGUAAAGAAUAGACGAGUAGCUGCACUCGCCUGCUAGAAACUGUGGACAAUUUCUCAAGAUCCUUUUUUUUUCUUUUUCUUUUUUUUUUUUUUGAGACAGGGUCUCA